UAGGGAAUCUUCGGCAAUGGGGGGAACCCUGACCGAGCAACGCCGCGUGAGUGAAGAAGGUUUUCGGAUCGUAAAGCUCUGUUGUUAAGGAAGAACGAGUGUGAGAAUGGAAAGUUCAUACUGUGACGGUACUUAACCAGAAAGGGACGGCUAACUACGUGCCAGCAGCCGCGGUAAUACGUAGGUGGCAAGCGUUAUCCGGAUUUAUUGGGCGUAAAGCGAGCGCAGGCGGUCAAUUAAGUCUGAUGUGAAAGCCCCCGGCUCAACCGGGGAGGGUCAUUGGAAACUGGUUGACUUGAGUGCAGAAGAGGAGAGUGGAAUUCCAUGUGUAGCGGUGAAAUGCGUAGAUAUAUGGAGGAACACCAGUGGCGAAGGCGACUCUCUGGUCUGUAACUGACGCUGAGGCUCGAAAGCGUGGGUAGCAAACAGG
rnacentral:rRNA from 1 species